rnacentral:lncRNA from 1 species
UGAGCCCUCAUCUCAGCUAUGAAGCUAACUGAAGUGACCUUAAGGUCUCUAGAGACCUGAGACUCCCUUUCUGCUCGUGCAACGAUCUGAUGGGCUUUUAUUUCCUAGGAGCCUCCACCAUGGUAUACCUCAAGAUCAACUUCAAUCAUAGUGUCAGAGAUAGGUAGGAUGGUGUUGGCUUUGUGAUUUGAAGAUUAAGCUCGGACCUUGUUGCGGCUAGAGGGAGCAGGUUGGAUA